UAGAUGUUACCACCACUGUUUUCAAUGCGUC
rnacentral:piRNA from 1 species